UUUUGCUAUAUUUAUGGAGGCAUGAUGGGCCCAGGGGGGCUAGAUGGUGGUUUUAACACUAUAGGGUCAGGAAUACAUGUUUGUGUUUCUGACCCUAUAGUGAUCCUUUAAGAAAAUAAACUUCAAGGGAUUAACUGUGAGGUGUCCAUAUAUUGCCAGGAAGUACUGGGCCAGGGCAGCUGCCAAUUGUCCUGCGUUAAAGACGGCCCAACUGCCAUUUUUAACAUGCUUUAGGGUGGCCUGGGGGUCAAUUGCCUCCUUGCCACCCGUCCCAGCCCGUCCCUGAUUAAUUAUAUGAGCUAGAACUAAUCUACUUUGAUGUCACAGCACUUUUUGACAAAAUAUCAUUAUAUACAUAUAAUACAAAUAUAUCUGACCUUACAUAUUCUAUUAAGCCAGACUGUAAAUUGAAGCCUGAAUCAGGCCAUGCAUGACUUGCCCUCCUUUGCUUAAAGAUAGUGCUGUUCUAAGGUGUCCUGGUGCCCUAAGUGAACAGACAGAAGUCUUCCAAAUUCGUUAUCUUUGGGGGAGCAGUAGAGUCUAAAGGUGCCAUAACCAACCAAAAAUCCUCUAAUCAGAAAUCCAAGAGGUGCACGUGGUCAGUCUAGGGCAGUGGUAGGCAGCCUUCGGCACUCCAGAUGCCGUGGACUACAUUUCCCAUGAUGCUUUGCCAGCAUUAUGGUUGUAAGAGCAUUAUGGGAUAUGUAGUCCACAAGAUCUGGAGUGCCAAAGGAUGCCUAUCCGUGGUCUAGGAAGCUUGCAGAGCUGAAUGUUGCAAGUUCCUUCACCUAUUCUAUCCAGUAGAAUAGGUGAAAUUGUCUACCUACUCUUAUGCAAAUUGUCUACCUACUCUUAUGCAUCAAACCUAUUUAACCCCUAGAUGACAAAUGAAGUGCCAGGUCGUUCGUGAAAUCAUAGGAUUUGCCUAACGACUUUUCUAAAAGGGUGAUGCAUUGAAUUAUUAUAUUUACUUAGUGAUGCUAAAAUAUACCAUUUAUUCUUUAUAUUCAGUUAAUAUCGAGUCUUCAGAUCCAGUUUAACUAAUCGUUAGACAGGAAAAAUACCUUACAUAAAACAUUAAGCAAGUUUGGAUGCACUUUCGGGUUGGGGUUAUUGUGUACACUCCACUCCUUAUACAUUUCGUAUGUUGGAGGAAUUCAAGUGGCCCCAGAAAUGAAUGUUGGUGUUUUGUAAGCCUAUGAAAAAGGCCUAAAAUGCUGUGGGGAUGAGAUGGGAUUAAGCUCAAUGCAGAAUUACAUAACGUAACUCUAUAUAUAAAAUACUGUAAAUAAUGGUAAAUGAAGCAAAAAAAUGUUAGAUGCUUUAUUUGUAAAAUAAAUAUUUUUUCUUGUUUACUGGU